GCGCUAGUGGUCAAGUGGUUACGAUCCCGUCCUCCCAACAGUUGGAUAGACGGUGGCCCGAGUUCGAAUCUCGGCUGGCGCA
rnacentral:tRNA from 1 species